UAUGUUGUUUAUGUGACAGAAACACCUGUUCCCAUUGGCAUCAUUGUUGGUGCCGUUUCUGCUGUCAUCCUGUUGAUUGGCAUUGGUGUUGUUGGGUGUUUGGUGUAUCAGAAGAAAAAAGGGUUAAAAAAAUUCAAAGCCUCUGAUAUCUCUGACUGCUCUAGUGAAAAAAGCACCAGUAGUCUACUAUCUUCUGGAAGUGUCUCUAGCACCUCAAGUUAGACAUCUCAAGGCCUAAAAUGAUACCUGAGAACUGAUCCUGAAAAUAAUGCUCAGGCUUCUGCUGGAGAUCUAUCAGACGGAUAUGUAUCUUUUUCUCUCUUUCUCUCUUUCUCUCUUUCUCUCUCUCUCGCUCUCUCUCUCACUCACUCAC